rnacentral:rRNA from 1 species
UACGGGGGGAGCAAGCGUUGUUCGGAUUUACUGGGCGUAAAGGGCGCGUAGGCGGCAUGACAAGUCACUUGUGAAAUCUCCGGGCUUAACUCGGAACGGUCAAGUGAUACUGUCGCGCUAGAGUGCGGAAGGGGCAAUCAGAAUUCUUGGUGUAGCGGUGAAAUGCGUAGAUAUCAAGAGGAAUACCUGAGGUGAAGACGGGUUGCUAGGCCGACACUGACGCUGAAGCGCGAAAGCCAGGGGAGCAAACGGG